rnacentral:miRNA from 1 species
AUCACUGCAUUGUUCUGUCCAG